GACAUCCAGAGAACUUAGCAGAGAUGCUUUGGUGCCUUCGGGAACUCUGAGACAGGUGCUGCAUGGCUGUCGUCAGCUCGUGUUGUGAAAUGUUGGGUUAAGUCCCGNAACGAGCGCAACCCUUAUCCUUUGUUGCCAGCGGUUCGGCCGGGAACUCAAAGGAGACUGCCGGUGAUAAACCGGAGGAAGGUGGGGAUGACGUCAAGUCAUCAUGGCCCUUACGGCCAGGGCUACACACGUGCUACAAUGGCGCAUACAAAGAGAAGCGACCUCGCGAGAGCAAGCGGACCUCAUAAAGUGCGUCGUAGUCCGGAUUGGAGUCUGCAACUCGACUCCAUGAGGUCGGAAUCGCUAGUAAUCGUAGAUCAGAAUGCUACGGUGAAUACGUUCCCGGGCCUUGUACACACCGCCCGUCACACCAUGGGAGUGGGUUGCAAAAGAAGUAGGUAGCUUAACCUUCGGGAGGGCGCUUACCACUUUGUGAUUCAUGACUGGGGUGAAGUCGUAACAAGGUAAGCGUAGUGCU
rnacentral:rRNA from 1 species